GGCGACGUGGCCGAGUGGUUAGGCAGCGGCCUGCAAAGCCGUGUACCCCAGUUCGAUCCUGGGCGUCGCCU
rfam:Denitrovibrio acetiphilus DSM 12809, complete genome.